rnacentral:tRNA from 1 species
AAAAUCCGUUGGCUUUAU